rnacentral:rRNA from 1 species
GGCCGCGGUACCCUAACCGUGCAAAGGUAGCGUAAUCACUUGUCUAUUAAUUGUAGACCCGUAUGAAAGGCAAAAUGAGGGUCUAACUGUCUCUUAUAGUAAAUCAAUUAAACUGAUCUCCCAGUCCAAAAGCUGGGAUCUACCCAUAAGACCAGAAGACCCUGUGAAGCUUAAACUAAACUAUUAAACCCAAUAAUAAUUCCUUUCGGUUGGGGCGACCUUGGAAAAAAAAAGAACUUCCAAAUAUACGAUCAUUCACCACAUCCACUCCGGCCAACAAGCCUAACACGACCCAGCACAGCUGAUAACCGAACCAAGCUACUCCAGGGAUAACAGCGCUAUCUUCUUCAAGAGCCCAUAUCAAAAAGAAGGUUUACGACCUCGAUGUUGGAUCAGGACAUCCUAAUGGUGCAGCCGCUA